UCUGCCAGUUAGUCAUAUGCUUGUUUCAAGGACUAAGCCAUGCAUGCCUCAGAAUAACUGCUAUGCAGGAGUCUGCGCAUGGCUCAUUACAUCAGACGCAAUCUGCCGCAAAAAUGUUGCGGAAACGCAUUAUUGGAUACCUUGUGCGAAACGCCAAGCUAAUACAUGAACUAAUGGGCUCGUCCCGUUCAACACGCCGUAGGUUUCGACCGAAAGCGUGGUGGCCGACCCUGCGGAUGAAUGAAAGUACAAACCAAUGCACCUCACGGUGCAGUAAUACGGAGUAGUGCUGAAUCAAUUCAUCUUUGCGAAAGCUGGCCUAGCCAGCGCUUUUUGACGAACAACUGCCCUAUCAGCCAGUGAUGGCCGUGUAGUGGACUGCCAUGGCGUUGACGGGAGCGGGGGAUUAGGGUUCGAUUCCGGAGAGGGAGCCUGAAAGCAAAAAAAAGUCAUUACUUUACCCCUCUAUAAAGAAAAAAAGGUUUUAUUUUUCAUAAAUAACACCGACGGGCAAGUGUUUUAGUAAUAAAACGCUAGUUGUGUUUUGAGUUGCAGCAACACCAUCAAAUUGUUCCGGAAGUCCGUUAGAGCUCAUGAGACCGCGGCGACCAGUAAUGGAUUCGUGCAGCAGCAGGUGUAAUGGCCUGUGGAUGGUAAAACUUCAUGAGAUUCGGUAACCGGCAGCCAAGUGACAAGAAACAUUUGUUUUUUGCCAUGCAGUUCACAGACUAAAUGUUGGUGGGCGUUCUAUUCUUUUCUUUUUGAAAAAAUAGUUCGCUUAAGAUAUAGUCGGCCCACUAGUGAAAGCUAGUCCUUUGAGAGGAUUCGGAAAACUUGAACUCAAAACGAACACACACCAAGUUUCUGAGGAGAGCUCAAAGGGGUCUUGCGAUAUUGGUAACUAACCAAUUGUUGCGAGGCUGGAUUCAGCGGAGAAAUGGCUACCACUUCUACGGAGGGCAGCAGGCGCGCAAAUUGCCCAAUGCCAAAACAAAUGAUGAGGCAGCGAAAAGAAAUAGGUGUCCCAAACGCCUCGUGCGUUUGGGACUUUCAAUGGGGGAUAUUCAAAACCAUCCAACAUCGAGUAACAAUUGGAGGACAAGUCUGGUGCCAGCACCCGCGGUAAUUCCAGCUCCAAGAGCGUAUAUUAACGCUGUUGCUGUUAAAGGGUUCGUAGUUGAAUUGUGGAGUAUGGCCACGGGAUUCAGUCCUUUUCCCACGGUCUAGGAACGUCCCGACCAUACUCCGAGAACGUCAGAAACUAAGAUCACGGAAGCGUUUUUUACAAACUGCCACCGACUACGCGAGCAAUGUUCGCUGGUGGACGUCCGUGUUUUUUACUGUGACUAAAGAAGUGCGACCAAGGCAGUCCAUCGACAUGAAUUAGAAAGCAUGGGAUAACAAAGCAGCAGCCUAUGAGCUACCGUUUAGGCUUUUGUUGGUUUUAAAGGUUCGUGGGAGAUUACGGGCGUGUAGGACCGGCGUUGGGGGUUUUCCAAAAUCCCCGCGUCUCCUCCUGGCAUCGGAAACGGUGCUUGCGGGGCCUGCUUCGCUCAGGAAUGAAGGAGGGUUGCUCGGGGGAAAACGUACUUGGGCGUGAGAGGUGAAAUUCUUAGACCGCCCAAAGACGAACUACAGCGAAGGCAUUUUCCAAGGAUACCUUCCUCAAUCAAGAACCAAAGUGUGGGGAUCGAAGAUGAUUAGAGACCAUUGUAGUCCACACCACAAACGAUGACCCCCAUGAAUUGGGGAGUUUUUGCGGAGGCGCCUCCCGGCUUGUCCGGGUGGGCGUCCCGCAAUAAAGUAUUCAACCUACGUGCACGUUCUAUCCAGCCGAGAGGUAACACUCUCGGCCUUGACGGGAACAUCCUCAGCACGUUCUCUUACUGUUUCACGCGAAAGCUUUGAGGUUACAGUCUCAGGGGGGAGUACGUUCGCAAGAGUGAAACUUAAAGAAAUUGACGGAAUGGCACCACAAGAUGUGGAGCGUGCGGUUUAAUUUGACUCAACACGGGGAACUUUACCAGAUCCGGAAAGGGUAAGGAUUGACAGAUUGAUUGUUCUUUCUCGAUUCUCUCAAUGGUGGUGCAUGGCCGCUUUUGGUCGGUGGAGUGAUUUGUUUGGUCGAUUCCGUCAACGGACGAGAUCCAAGCUGCCCAGUAGGGGCCUGAAUUGUCAAUUUGAAGACAGCGCUCCGGAGCUGGCUCCGGCUUAGCUCUUGGACUUUCUUCGGUUGGCUCCUUCUCUGCAGGAUUCCUGGUUUUGCGCUAGGUGAAAUUUUGGGCAACAGCAGGUCUGUGAUGCUCCUCAAUGCUCUGGGCGACACGCGCACUACAAUGUCAGUGAGAACAAGAAGACCUACGUUUCGUAGGACCUGCCUGACCACAAGGGCGGGGAAACACCGGAAUCACAUCGACCCAAUUGGGACCGAGUAUUGCAAUUAUUGGUCGCGUAACGAGGAAUAUCUCGUAGGCGUAGCUCAUCAAACUGUGCCGAUUACGUCCCUGCCAUUUGUACACACCGCCCGUCGUUGUUUCCGAUGAUGGUGCAAUGCAGGUGAUCGGACAAGCAGAGGCUCUGUCUUUGCUUGAAAGUUCACCGACAUUUCUUCAAUAGAGGAAGCAAAAGUCGUAAAAGAAAAAAAAACUGCGGCUAACAGGUCGACGCGAGGCUCGCAAGGGUCCCUUUUUUUUUUUGGAGAAAAGAAAAGUUUGUGAAUCGACACAAAGCGUUGUAACGGCCUAGGCGACCAAAAAAAACUUUUAUAAAAAAAAAAUUGAAAUAACUUUUUUUGGUGGUACGCUCCGCGACAGCGGGCACCGAUAAAACAGCCAAGUGAGGAGAAAACGGUCAAAGUUUCGUCUCUAUAUAGAUAUCUUUUAUAUAGAGAACGGGAUCAGACCGUCGGAAAGCCACGGUAACGUCUCUUUUUUUGCAAGAGAGACUAGUCUUUGGAAACGAAGAUGUCGUGGAACCGCUAUCGACUGGGUCCCUCGCGGUCAACCUCUGUAGUAAAAUAUUAUUUUAUUACGUGGUAGGCUCAAUGUACAGUCAGGCCAACGUCAAGCCGUUUGGUGCUCUUUAUUGAGUGCUGACGUCUUUCUUCCAAAGAGAAAGAGGAUGAAAGGAAUCGUUUUUCUUUUCAUCGGCCCAAGCGUUGCCGAAUGACAAAGCUCCUAUAUUUCAGAGCCCGAAUCAUUCGGGGCAAAUUU
rnacentral:rRNA from 1 species